UCUGGCCUCAAAUCAGGUAGGAUUACCCGCUGAACUUAAG
rnacentral:rRNA from 1 species